UCAGAUUUGGUGAUAAAAGUA
rnacentral:siRNA from 1 species